GCUGGGCUCGUCUCCCCCUGUCUGGUGAAGAACCUCUUGCCGUGGCCGGAUUCCUGCUCAGUUAAACUGCGGGUGACAGCUACAGCUUUCUUUGCUGAGAUCUCUCGGGGCGGCAGGACGACGGGGACCUCCGAGUGAGGCAGGCACCAGAGGAAUCCCUCCGCAAUACCUGGCCCCAGCCAGCACCACGGAGUUAAUUAAAGCUCAUCAAAAGACA